CUCCCUGCAAGGGAGAUCAAGUAAUGAGCUUGUCCCGCUCCAGAGAACCUAAUUUGCACCAGAUGGAGUGAAUGUAUUUCACCUGGGCUUAGCAAAGCUCAGGCUUGGAAACUCUCAGAGAGAAGAAGGAAGGACUCUUUCCCUUUCUACUCAGUCCAGGUUGAGCUCGGAGCCUGCCCUGCUGAUUGGCCAGGAGAGCUGGAGGAGAGGAAUCAUUGCUAUGACCAUAGAGUUGGGAGGACGUUAUGACGGUGGUAGAGAAACAGCACAGAGGGAGAGCUGUGCCUGUGUGCCUUGGACAAUGAGACUUGAAUAAGGCAAUCAAGUACUGCCCAAUAUCUGCAUUUGAUGACAUAAGGAAUGAAUUGGCUGCUGCCCAGAUUGUCAGCAUCUUGGAGGACGGUCCCAGUACUUGCAGGUGUUUUGAGCUGGAGUCCCUGCAGCUGAAAGAAGAGGUGGCGGUUGAAGGGCACUUUCAGGGAUGGGCCCUCAACUUUGGCACCUACUACCCCACCUUGAAGUUGUAACCUGCUUGAAUUUGCUGUCCUUCGGGGCGUGCUGCACAGUCCAUCUUGUUACCUGGGCUUUGGGGAAGCAAAGAGAUGCAUUGAGCUGGUAACUAUAUGAGGAUGGCAUAUUGUUUGGACUUGACUUUAUGGUCGGUCUCUUUCUCUGUGCCUUACAGGCUGAAAUAGAUAUUCUCCCCUCACCAGUAGAGAAUACGGGCAAUGUUUUGCCACCCUUAAUCAUGUGAGUAACUCCUUACUACUUGAGUAAUUCCAUUGGUGCUCAGUGGGGCUGUUCAUUCUGAAUAAGGAUGGUAGAAUCUGCCCCAAUGGGACUAUUAAUGGAAUAAGGGGGUACUCAGAAUGAUUGGAGAGAUCAGGAUCUGGUUCCAAACAAAUUUAACACAGGCUCCCAACAGUUCUUAGGUGGUACCAGAUGUCAUUCAUUCCUUCACACUGGUCUCCUGAGGUCUCUCUCUUAUUACCAAUCCAUGAUGCAUCUGGUUCACCGUCCCCUGCUAAAUUUUAGCACUGUAUACAGUAUUUCUGUGGAGGGGAUCUAAAUGGUUCUGCAUGCUCAGCCACCGUACCUCGUUUCUUGUGACAAAGCACAGGGCUUACGUGCUGCUCAUUUUUCAUUUCAUGCAACUAUUAAAAUGUGCCCUUUGCAUACAGCAAACUGUGAAAGGAGCCUGCAAUGGCAGUUCCUGCAUAUAUCAUUAUUAACUUUUCCAAGGACCUGCAGGCUGAGAAAAUGAUUGUGGAACUGGACCACGAAGCCACACUUGAGAAGCAGCAGUACUAAAGAAGCAUGAUCAUGAUUUUUCCCUUGUCAUGAGUUCAGCCAUUCCUUUAACAGGAGAAAUAUCAGUGCCAGUAUAGUCACAAUUCUGCGAUUGUCUAUACAGUGUGCCGAGGUGAGCUCCAUUAAAUCAACUGUCUAGUUAGCCAGCUCAUAAAUACUGUCACACAAUAGCACUGUUUUCACGCACUCCAAUAGCUUUAGGUCAGCUGCUGGGUACCCAUGUUGAGUGGGGGUUGGAGGGAUGAUUUUGGAUGCAUUAUGCUACAUCAUAUUAGACUGUACAAGGCAAGCACUGUGUCAGGCUGUGAACCACAGGGGUGGACGGGAGUCAGAAUUUCAGUCCCUGAUUUCUCAGGACCAGACUCAGGCUAGGGCUUUUUUCCCCUCUGUUGUUAGUAUGGUGCAGCCUUAUGGUAACACUAAGACCAUGGAACAAAGAUGCCAUUGUAUAAUGCCCAGGGGAAAAGUAAAACUGAAAUAAAAGGGUUAGUGCAAUACAAUAGGUGAAGCCACCCCGAUUUUUUCAUUCAGUUAUCUCCUCGAACUCUUUCUGCUGG